rnacentral:rRNA from 1 species
UACGGGGGGGGCAAGCGUUGUUCGGAAUUACUGGGCGUAAAGGGCUCGUAGGCGGCCAACUAAGUCAGAUGUGAAAUCCCUCGGCUUAACCGGGGAACUGCAUCUGAUACUGGAUGGCUUGAGAUUGGGAGAGGGAUGCGGAAUUCCAGGUGUAGCGGUGAAAUGCGUAGAUAUCUGGAGGAACACCGGUGGCGAAGGCGGCAUCCUGGACCAACACUGACGCGGAUGAGCGAAAGCCAGGGGAGCAAACGGG